rnacentral:rRNA from 1 species
GACGAACGCUGGCGGCGUGCUUAACACAUGCAAGUCGAACGGAAAGGCCCUGCUUUUGUGGGGUGCUCGAGUGGCGAACGGGUGAGUAACACGUGAGUAACCUGCCCUUGACUUUGGGAUAACUUCAGGAAACUGGGGCUAAUACCGGAUAGGAGCUCCUGCUGCAUGGUGGGGGUUGGAAAGUUUCGGCGGUUGGGGAUGGACUCGCGGCUUAUCAGCUUGUUGGUGGGGUAGUGGCUUACCAAGGCUUUGACGGGUAGCCGGCCUGAGAGGGUGACCGGCCACAUUGGGACUGGGAUACGGCCCAGACUCCUACGGGAGGCAGCAGUGGGGAAUAUUGCACAUGGGCGGAAGCCUGAUGCAGCAACGCCGCGUGCGGGAUGACGGCCUUCGGGUUGUAAACCGCUUUCGCCUGUGACGAAGCGUGAGUGACGGUAAUGGGUAAAGAAGCACCGGCUAACUACGUG